GUGCAGAAUGCGACAACGAAUAGACAGCCCGGCACACCCCGGCUAACUCCGGGCCUUAGCCCUCUUCAAUAAUUACUGGUGCUAGCGCUCAUCUAAGCUACUGGGCAAAAUGGGGGUCAAUCCGAGGGUUAAACCCUGGUGAAACCCCGGGCUCCUGGUGUUGAGUUCAUUUGAAGUGAGUGGAAUUCCGUGUGGAAAGGGGAGGUUCAAUUACAUUUGUAGGAACGAAAUGGGUAAAGGUCUGUCGGAGUCUCGGUGCUGACGGUGACCCCCUGAACUGAGACUGACACUCAGGUUUAAAUGCCCGGGUAGCCCACACCAUUAACUACCCUGGCCGUCCACCCUGUAAACUAUUGCUCCUUGACGGACCUGACCUAUAAACCUUUCCUCCUGAGCUAACCCGUUAAAUAAACCGCAUGGGGAGGACUUGCCCGAGAUUAAAACUCAAAUGAAUUGACGGU
rnacentral:rRNA from 1 species